GGGUUGUGAGGUUAAGCGACUAAGCGUACACGGUGGAUGCCCUGGCAGUCAGAGGCGAUGAAGGACGUGCUAAUCUGCGAAAAGCGUCGGUAAGGUGAUAUGAACCGUUACAGCCGGCGAUGUCCGAAUGGGGAAACCCAGUGCAAUUCGUUGCACUAUCGUUAACUGAAUACAUAGGUUAACGAGGCGAACCGGGGGAACUGAAACAUCUAAGUACCCCGAGGAAAAGAAAUCAACCGAGAUUCCCCCAGUAGCGGCGAGCGAACGGGGAGCAGCCCAGAGUCUGAAUCAGCUUGUGUGUUAGUGGAACGGUCUGGAAAGUCCGACGGUACAGGGUGAUAGUCCCGUACACCAAAAUGCACAGGUUGUGAACUCGAAGAGUAGGGCGGGACACGUGGUAUCCUGUCUGAAUAUGGGGGGACCAUCCUCCAAGGCUAAAUACUCCUGACUGACCGAUAGUGAACCAGUACCGUGAGGGAAAGGCGAAAAGAACCCCGGCGAGGGGAGUGAAAAAGAACCUGAAACCGUGUACGUACAAGCAGUGGGAGCACCUUUAUGGUGUGACUGCGUACCUUUUGUAUAAUGGGUCAGCGACUUAUAUUCUGUAGCAAGGUUAACCGUAUAGGGGAGCCGCAGGGAAACCGAGUCUUAACUGGGCGUUAAGUUGCAGGGUAUAGACCCGAAACCCGGUGAUCUAGCCAUGGGCAGGUUGAAGGUUGGGUAACACUAACUGGAGGACCGAACCGACUAAU
rnacentral:rRNA from 1 species